rnacentral:rRNA from 1 species
UACGUAGGGGGCGAGCGUUGCCCGAAGUUACUGGGCGUAAAGCGCGCGUAGGCGGCUAUUUAAGUCUGAGGUGAAGGGUUCAGCGCUCAACGUGAACAGUGCCUUGGAUACUGGAUAGCUUGAGUUCGGGAGGGGGCUGUGGAAUUCCUGGUGUAGCGGUGAAAUGCGUAGAUAUCAGGAGGAACACCGAUGGCGAAGGCAGCAGCCUGGCCAGAACUGACGCUGAGGUGCGAAAGCGUGGGGAGCGAACGGG